rnacentral:sRNA from 1 species
GCCAGGCACGGUGGUGCAUGCUUGUAAUCCCAGCUGCUUGAGAGGCUGAGGCAGGAGGAUUGUGAGUUCAAAGCCAGCCUCAGCAACAUAAGAUGAUAAGCAACUCAGUGAGACCCUGUCUCUU